rnacentral:rRNA from 1 species
UUCCGGUUGAUCCUGCCGGACCCGACUGCUAUUUGGGUGAGGAUAAGCCAUGCGAGUUGAAUGGGAAACCUAAAAAUCCCAUGGCAAACUGCUCAGUAACACAUGAUCAACUUACCCUAUAGAGGAAAAUAACCUCGGGAAACUGAGGAUAAUGUUCCAUAGUUGAAUCGGCUUGGAAAAGUUUUUCAAUAAAAGGGAUAAGGAAAAUGGUCCUUAUCUGCUAUAGGAUAGGAUCGUGCUCGAUUAUGGUUGUUGGUGAGGUAAAGGCUCACCAAGCCGAUAAUCGAUAGGGGCCGUGAGAGCGGGAGCCCCGAGAUGGGUACUGAGACAACGACCCAGGCCUUACGAGGCGCAGCAGGCGCGAAACCUCCGCAAUACACGAAAGUGUGACGGGGUUACCCAAAGUGUUCAUUAGAACUGUGGUAGGUGAGUAAUGUUCCCUACUAGAAAGGAGAGGGCAAGGCUGGUGCCAGCCGCCGCGGUAAAACCAGCUCUUCAAGUGGUCGGGAUAAUUAUUGGGCUUAAAGUGUCCGUAGCCGGUUUAGUAAGUUCCUGGUAAAAUCGGGUAGCUUAACUAUCUAUAUGCUAGGAAUACUGCUAUACUAGAGGGCGGGAGAGAUCUGAGGUACUACAGGGGUAGGGGUGAAAUCUUAUAAUCCUUGUAGGACCACCAGUGGCGAAGGCGUCAGACUGGAACGCGCCUGACGGUGAGGGACGAAAGCCAGGGGAGCGAACCGGAUUAGAUACCCGGGUAGUCCUGGCCGUAAACGAUGCAUACUAGGUGAUGGCACGGCCAUGAGCCGUGUCAGUGCCGUAGGGAAACCGUUAAGUGUGCCGCCUGGGAAGUACGGUCGCAAGGCUAAAACUUAAAGGAAUUUGGCGGGGGAGCACCACAAGGGGUGAAGCCUGCGGUUCAAUUGGAUUCAACGCCGGAAAUCACUAGUGCGGCC